rnacentral:tRNA from 1 species
GGUAACAUGACAGAGAGGACUAAUGUGGCUCACUGCUAAUGAGUUGGGCAUGAAUUUGCCCCGGAGGUUCGAAUCCUCCUGUUACCG